UACGUAGGGUGCGAGCGUUGUCCGGAAUUAUUGGGCGUAAAGGGCUCGUAGGCGGUCUGUCACGUCGGGUGUGAAAACUCAGGGCUUAACCCUGAGCCUGCUUCCGAUACGGGCAGACUAGAGGUAUGCAGGGGAGAACGGAAUUCCUGGUGUAGCGGUGAAAUGCGCAGAUAUCAGGAGGAACACCGGUGGCGAAGGCGGUUCUCUGGGCAUUACCUGACGCUGAGGAGCGAAAGUGUGGGGAGCGAACAGG
rnacentral:rRNA from 1 species